rnacentral:rRNA from 1 species
GUAAAGCGCGCGUAGGUGGUUUGUUAAGUUGGAUGUGAAAGCCCCGGGCUCAACCUGGGAACUGCAUCCAAAACUGGCAAGCUAGAGUAUGGUAGAGGGUGGUGGAAUUUCCUGUGUAGCGGUGAAAUGCGUAGAUAUAGGAAGGAACACCAGUGGCGAAGGCGACCACCUGGACUGAUACUGACACUGAGGUGCGAAAGCGUGGGGAGCAAACAGGAUUAGAUACCUGU